rnacentral:rRNA from 2 species
AUAUUGGCCAGAGACCGAUAGCGCACAAGUAGAGUGAUCGAAAGAUGAAAAGCACUUUGGAAAGAGAGUUAAACAGUACGUGAAAUUGUUGAAAGGGAAGCGCUUGCAAUCAGACUUGCACUUGGUGUUCAUCAGGGUCUCGUACCCUGUGUACUUCAUCAAGUUCAGGCCAGCAUCAGUUUGAGUGGUUAGAUAAAGGCUUAAAGAAUGUGGCCCUCUUCGGGGGGUGUUAUAGCUCUAGGUGCAAUGUAGCCUACUUGGACUGAGGACCGCGCUUCGGCUAGGAUGCUGGCGUAAUGGUUGUAAGCGACCCGUCUUGAAACACGGACC